GGCGUCGACCGGCGCACGGGUGAGUAACGCGUAUCCAACCUGCCCACCACUUUGGGGAUAACCUUUGCGAAAGUAAGACUAAUACCCAAUGAUAUCCCACGAAGGCAUCCGAAUGGGAUUAAAGAUUUAUCGGUGAUGGAUGGGGAUGCGUCUGGUUAGCUCGUUGGCGGGGUAACGGCCCACCAAGGCUACGAUCAGUAGGGGUUCUGAGAGGAAGGUCCCCCACAUUGGAACUGAGACACGGUCCAAACUCCUACGGGAGGCAGCAGUGAGGAAUAUUGGUCAAUGGGCGAGAGCCUGAACCAGCCAAGUAGCGUGCAGGACGACGGCCCUAUGGGUUGUAAACUGCUUUUAUAAGGGAAUAAAGUGAGUCUCGUGAGACUUUUUGCAUGUACCUUAUGAAUAAGGACCGGCUAAUUCCGUGCCAGCAGCCGCGGUAAUACGGAAGGUCCGGGCGUUAUCCGGAUUUAUUGGGUUUAAAGGGAGCGUAGGCCGGAGAUUAAGCGUGUUGUGAAAUGUAGUGGCUCAACCUCUGCACUGCAGCGCGAACUGGUCUUCUUGAGUACGCACAACGUGGGCGGAAUUCGUGGUGUAGCGGUGAAAUGCUUAGAUAUCACGAAGAACUCCGAUUGCGAAGGCAGCUCACGGGAGCGCAACUGACGCUGAAGCUCGAAAGUGCGGGUAUCGAACAGGAUUAGAUACCCUGGUAGUCCGCACGGUAAACGAUGGAUGCCCGCUGUUGGCCUGAAUAGGUCAGCGGC
rnacentral:rRNA from 1 species